CAGGAAAGGCAGCAGCCCUAAGCUGUGCCCAACUGGGCAGAGGGAUCCUGCUCCUGGCAUCACUGGCACCUGCAUGGUCUGAACCUCUGCCUCGUCACACGCAAGGAGCUGCCAUUCACUGGGGAGAGAGAAAAGAAAUGAAAAUCAGAUAUUGGUGGGGGAAAAAAAACACCUCAGGGAGCUGCCAAAGCCUCUCAGGUAAACAAAGAAACCAUCUUGUAAGAGGCCUGAGUCUGCCAAGGGUCUGCCUGUAACCAGGAUACAGAAGAAAGCCCCAGAGAGCCAGCCUUAAGCAAGCAGCCGCCUACAAACGCCUCGCUCGCUUCUCCAAGGGACGUUUCAAGUCCCCAAGCUCACCACUGCCAGGAAUUACACAGCAAAACUAAGAACAGCCUCUUGGCAAAAGCACAUCAGGGCUGUCAGCUGGAUAAUAAGCCUUCCUUUUCAUCAGGUCCUAAGAAGAUGUGAGGCUAUGUCCAGUUUGCGCUGUUAGAUUCCGGUUUUGAGUCUCUAGAGAGAACAAGGCUCUGGUGGAACCCCCAAAGGCUCUGGUGGAGCCCCCAGAUGCUCUAAUGGAACCCCCAAAGGCUCUGGUGGAACCCCCGAGGGCUCUGGUGAAAUCCCAAAGGCAUGUUCCUAAAGAUAUGGGUUGCUUUAAUUGAGCUGAAGCUGGCUCAGGAUUCCAUUUGAGCCUCUCCCCAUCCUUUGUCUUCCGCUGCCGAUGUCGAGACCCUGCCUGCAGAAAGCAAAGGAGGUGAUUAACUCCUGGCAGCUCUGUUGCCUGGAAACGAGAUGCUUCCUGGGGAGAAGCCAUCAGCCCGGCUUCAAAAUGCUGGGGGGGAGGUCUGCAGGUCCAGGGCUUGCAGCCUUACUGGGCUGUGCAAGCCUCAGGCCAGUCAGAGAGGUUCACAGGGAGGCUAAGGAGGGGGAAGGCACAGAAUCACACAAU